rnacentral:rRNA from 1 species
GUAGGGAAUAUUGGGCAAUGGAUGCAACUCUGACCCAGCCAUGCCGCGUGCAGGAUGACGGCCCUCUGGGUUGUAAACUGCUUUUAUACGGGAAGAAAAAAUACUACGUGUAGUAUACUGACGGUACCGUAAGAAUAAGGAUCGGCUAACUCCGUGCCAGCAGCCGCGGUAAUACGGAGGAUCCAAGCGUUGUCCGGAUUUAUUGGGUUUAAAGGGUGCGUAGGCGGAUCUUUAAGUCAGUGGUGAAAGCCUGCAGCUUAACUGUAGAAUUGCCAUUGAAACUGAAGAUCUUGAAUGUGGUUAAAGUAGGCGGAAUGUAUCAUGUAGCGGUGAAAUGCUUAGAUAUGAUACAGAACACCGAUAGCGAAGGCAGCUUGCUGAACCAUUAUUGACGCUGAGGCACGAAAGCGUGGGGAGCGAACAGGAUUAGAAACCCGAGUAGUCC